GGCCGCGGGAAUUCGAUUCAGGCCGAGCACAUGCAAGUCGGGCGGUAGAGAGAAGCUUGCUUCUCUUAAAAAAAAAAGACGGGGUGAGUAAUGCCUAGGAAUUUGCCUGGUAGUGGGGGAUAACGUUCGGAAACGGACGCUAAUACCGCAGACGUUGUACGGGAGAAAGCAGGGGACCUUCGGGCCUUGCGCUAUCAGAUGAGCCUAGGUCGGAUUAGCUAGUUGGUGAGGUAAUGGCUCACCAAGGCUACGAUCCGUAACUGGUGUGAGAGGAUGAUCAGUCACACUGGUACUGGGACACGGUCCAGACUCCUACGGGAGGCAGCAGUGGGGAAUGUUG
rnacentral:rRNA from 1 species